CAUUGCGAUCGCUCCGGGAGCAAGCGAGUCGAACUACAGUGAAUCGGCGCCACCAGGCGACCAAUGCAGCGCAACACUUCAGCUGCCAUUACUACGGACAUCGCUUCCGAUGGAAAUGGGAGUGUGCUAGGUGCCACAAGCGCUGUGUGUGGAGACAGAGCUCCCAGGAUGACAUGAUGCCAGCUCUACCCAAGACUGGGCAGCUGCACGUCGAAUGUCAAUCCUCAGUGUGUCAUCAGUCCCGGAUUCCCCAUCCUAUAUAAGGACCGCAAAUGCUACUAUGGAUGUACCUUGGUACCCGUGCUGGUUUUGCUUUCACUUGUGGUUUAUGCCUUGCUCUGUUCUGAUUAUCUGUGUAUGACACUGAUUUGUUUCUGGUUACUGAUUUUUGCCCUACCUCUGGUUUUGGUUGUCUACCUUUUUCAUUUGCCGUUUUCUGUGUACUUAUUAUUGACUAUGAUUAAGCUCAGUCACUGCAUGGUUUUGGUGUUUGUGAGUAUGUGCCGUGACAUAUGUAUUGAAUAAGGAGUGACUGCCAUUUUCUUUGAUUCUUUGUGUAUGUUUAGCUAGGGAGAUAGCAUUAGGUCAUUGUCUUUUGAUUCAUAUUCCUUUACAGGUAAAUUAGUAGUUUGCAGGUAAGUAGUUGCUGUUCAAAUCCUUUGAAUGCCAGGAGUGAUCUUACUCCAUUGGUCCCUUGAGCAAGGCCCCUAACCUGCAAUUGCUUCAUCCUGGGUAUAACAUUAAUCUACAUCCAGACCUGUAAGGAGGUCCUCCAGCUUACAGGGAAAUUUGGGGGAUGGUGGCAGAAUUGGCACGUCAGCCGGCGGAAAAAACUUACAAUGGUUCAUUUGGACUAGUGUGGUGCUGAGGUAUCACACUAGAGCUGAGACAAGUAUUCGAUGUAAUCGACGAUGUCGAUUUAUAAAAAUGCGUCAAUGUGGAAUUUUAGCGUCGACGCGUUGUGUAAAACUUUGUAAAUGUUUUAUAACUACAAUGCUUAAGCUAAACGUAUUGUAAGGGUGCACGUUAAGGCUUUCCUUUUAAGAAUCGCGCAAUAAAACAGUCUGUUAAUAACUGAAAUUUACUGUCCACCUGAUGAUCUCUUCGCCAUUCAAGAGCUACAAUAUUUUAUUUAUUGGACCUACGGCAUGGUAUUUAUUUCCAAUACAGAGUUAUUCCGCUAAUAAGCUGGCUAGUUGUUUCACUGCUCGCACCAUUAAAAGUAUAUCAAUUAUAGACUGAAUUCCGAUAUAGUUUUGUCUAAUAUCACUGGUGCCAGCAGUGCCGCACUAUUUUGUAAGGCAUGCACUGGCCAAUCAUGUAGCACUUCUCAUAAAUAUUAAUGAGACAUCACCUACCAACCCUGCUAAAUGGAAAGUUGCCGCCCGCCACGCGUACGAGGUAACAUGGCUGCGUCUACCAGCAGACCUCCAGAGCCUCUGAAGAAACACGCAGCAAAGAAGUCUCGUACAUGGUCUUUCAAAGUUUGGGAAUACUUCAGUCAUGACACCUUUUCUGCACCUCCACUUUAGCUGACAUUAAUGAUGCUGUUUCAGCCAUUUUACAUUUUCUGUUUACUUAUUCCGUCAUGUAAGAGUGAGACAAAUUAUCGUGUACCUCUUACACACCGUAGCCUAAAUCGUUCCUUGCUCACUGAAGUAAGCUUAACUAUAAGCUACCUUUGCUAGUGUUUGUUAAAAACAUGUUUCUCUAGUUAUGAAAUCAUUCCAUGUUUUAGCAUCUACUUCAACAUUAAAGUCAAAUUUGUGUACUGAAAUAAUCAAGUAAACACUAUUGCAAUGAUUAACUUCAGUCACCAAGUAUUAAAGUAUGUGUUCUAAGGGAUCAAAUAUUUAUUUCCCUAAAUAAAUGACAAAUUGGUUUGCAACUGUUACAUAAUGAUUGUUUCUUGCUUGUUUUGUUAAUAAUCUAUCUUUUGCUGUUUAAAUAAACAUACCAGUGAAAUUA